GGAUGGCAACAGGGAUACCAGAGGGCGAUGUGUCAGCAGAAGUAACUUUCACAAGAUCAAGCAGUAAAAGCCAAGCAAGGACCAAAUCGUGUUCCUGUUGAAAAAGUUGCUUUUUUAUGUAUAGAAAAUAGCAUGGUAUUUUUAAAGUACAAAGAUGAAACCUCCAGGAGCUCUGAAGAUGGAAAUCCAUCUAACUGUGCAUUGCCAGCCCUUGUGUGACUGGCAGAAUCCAAAUCAUGGCAAGGAUGGCAGGUCCUUGGAGGGCAGACCACAGAAGAGACAUCACAGGGUGUCUGUGAACAGCGCUGUACUGGGGAAACGUAUAGUCCAAGAGCAGAGGCACCGCUUGGUUGCUGCUCAAACAUUUCACCUGGAGAGUCCAUGAGAAGUUCCAGAGGAAGUAGAGAGGUACAGGGAGAGAUGAAAUCUCUGUCUUCUGCAGUGUUUCCUGGUGGAAAAGAGAAGACAGUAGCAGGUGCUUGAAGAUAAGAACACAGGAGAGAACAGAGGAAAGGGAGGUCUGACAGAGGAGAGUCAAGGUGCAAAGUGUCUCAUCCAAGUGGUCUGUACAACUGCUUUGGAGCCAACGCAGUUCUUGAGGACUUGGACUGCACCUGCAAACCAGGGGAUACAAAUCAGCCUGGCAACUCCAGCUCUUCAAGCAGGAACCGAGGAGUUCAGCUCCAGUGGAGGAUUUUUUCCCCUGGUGCCUCAAGAUAUUUCUGCCCAGCUGCUCUAACAAGUGAUUCUGAAGUCAUCCAAGUUUCAGCGCACUACUAUGCGGAUAGGUCCACAGCCUUCAGAAUGGGCUCCUCAUUCUUUACAUAGAUACAUAGAUUGUUGUGUUUGCAGCAGAGGACAAGCAUGUAGCCAACAGUAAUAUGCAGAAGACAAGUGUGCUAUGAAAGUAUGACAAGAUUGGUUAAUACAGGGCUUGUUAAUGAUUAAUUUUUGUCUUUCUGAUAUUACAGUGCUAUAAGGCUGACGUUGAAGAGCUUCAUGCAAGUUUGUUGGCAGCAAGUGAUGAUUUUCUAAUUAGCAUGUUUAACACAGAGGAAAGGAGAGCAGCCAUUGGUUACAUUUGCACUGUUAUUUUUGCUGUAGGCUUCAUAAAGUGAGUCUUCCAAGAUGCAGCUUCAGCCCCUCUUGAUCCCACAGCCCUGUUCCAUGUUGCCAUGGAAGCCCUGGGAGCCACAGCAAUUUUCUUGCUGGUGUGCAUUGUCUGCCUCCUUGUGUGCUCAGUGUGGGGGGAGAUAUCUGAAUCGGGGCAGCUGCCUCUUGGCCCGUUUCCUUUGCCCCUCAUAGGACACAUGUUGCAGCUGAAGAACAACUUGCCCAGGCAAGCGGAUGUAACUUAAAAGCAAUGUUAUUUUUUUGUAAAAUUGUUUCUGCUCAGGAAGAAAUAUGGUCCUAUGUUCAGAGUUGGUUUGGGCUCAGUACAUGCAGUGAUGUCGUAUGGACCCUUGGAAAACCGAGGCUGUGAGAACAAUAAACUCCCAAUCAAUCUGGAACUUGUAUGGGAUCUGCUACUUCAGCUAGAUCCCUACAAGUUGAUGGGACCUAAUGGGAUUCAUCCAAGGGUGCUUAAAGAGCUGCCUAACGUCAUAGCGAGACCUGUCUCUGUGAUUUUUCUACGCUGUUGGGAAUCUGGAGAGGUCCCAGAAGACUGGAAGCUGGCAAACAUUGUCCCAGUCUGCAAGAAGGUUAACAGGGAUCACCCCAGCAACUACAGGCAAGAUGUUCAUCACACAGCUGUGUAAACACGCAAUGCAGUGGGAGAGGACCCAUCUGCCCAGUCAUUAAUAAACUCCAUCCCCACCAGAGGAGACAAUAUGUGUUGGGGCACGAAUACAGUAGAUGAUCAUCCUCUAUCAGAAAAAAACCCCCGCUGUUUAAUGUUUACAUUUACAAAUUGG